GUCCUUUGGCCUACUUAAAGUCUUAAGUUUAAGGGGUAUUUUCGGAAUUAUGAUCUGAAGCAUAACCGCCACCACAAACUCCAACGAUUCUCCCUGUAUACUCCACAAGAGCAAGCUUUCAUUCAUGGCUACCCAACUCUUCUUCACUCAAACUCCCGACCCUUCUCACCCACUUGUGAAAUUCCUAUAAAACUCCCAUAUAAUCCCUCUUUUUGUACUUCCAACCCUCACCAUCUCUUGUGGUUUAUGCUCCCUCAAGACUGUUUCAAGCUCCAAAGCUCGAUCAUCAUCAAUUGUUCACGCUUUGCAAGAAGAAGAAGUUAUUCAAGCUCCAAAUUUAGAUUCCUCAACUGCCCCUCCUUCGUCUUCCAAGCUUGUUCUUGUUGCUGGCGGCACUGCUGGUGUAGGUCAACUGAUAGUGGCACGGCUGCUUAGCCGGAAUAUCAAGGCAGAAAAAUUACAGUAAUUGUAUUGUAAAGAACUCUUGAAACUUGAUAUGUAUGUAAAGGGGACACUAGGAUCCAUCUAUAUUUCAGGAGAUAUACUUGUUGGAGAGGUCAGUAGACUUGCGGUUGCAGAAGCGUGCAUACAAGCACUUGACAGAGAAUUCACCGAAGGUGAGAUCUUCGAGAUCAACUUAGUUGAGGGGAAGGGUCCGGAAAUGAUCCCCAGAUAUGGCGACAACUGUUUAAAGCUGCCGAUGAUUGGCCUCAGAAUGUAUCACUGGAUUCAGGAGAUUAUGAUGUAUACAAAAAUAAGGCUUGUAAGUUCUACACAAUAAUGAUAAAUAUUGUACAUAUUAUAUUAUAUAAGGUUUGUGAUGGUAAACAGGGACAAAGCCAGGAAUUUA